rnacentral:rRNA from 1 species
CCUACGGGUGGCAGCAGUAGGGAAUAUUGCUCAAUGGGGGAAACCCUGAAGCAGCAACGCCGCGUGGAGGAUGAAGGUUUUCGGAUUGUAAACUCCUUUUGUUAGAGAAGAUAAUGACGGUAUCUAACGAAUAAGCACCGGCUAACUCCGUGCCAGCAGCCGCGGCAAUACGGCGGGUGCAAGCGUUACUCGGAAUCAAUGGGCGUAAAGAGCGCGUAGGCGGGAUAGCAAGUCAGAUGUGAAAUCCUAUGGCUUAACCAUAGAACUGCAUUUGAAACUGUUAUUCUAGAGUAUUGGAGAGGUAGGCGGAAUUCUUGGUGUAGGGGUAAAAUCCGUAGAGAUCAAGAAGAAUACUCAUGGCGAAGGCGACCUGCUGGAACAUAACUGACGCUGAUGCGCGAAAGCGUGGGGAGCAAACAGGAUUAGAUACCCGUGUAGUC